GACGAACCGUGCGAACGUUAUUCGGAAUCACUGGGCUUAAAGCGCGUGUAGGCGGGUGGGUACGUCGGCCGUUGAAAUCCCCCGGCUCAACCGGGGAAGCGGCGCCGAUACGGCCUUCCUGGAGGAACGUAGGGGGACCUGGAACUUCCGGUGGAGCGGUGAAAUGCGUUGAGAUCGGUAGGAACGCCCGUGGCGAAAGCGAGGUCCUGGACGUUUUCUGACGCUGAGACGCGAAAGCCAGGGGAGCAAACGGG
rnacentral:rRNA from 1 species